rnacentral:rRNA from 1 species
GACGAACGCUGGCGGUGUGCCUAAUACAUGCAAGUUGAGCGAUGAAGAUUGGUGCUUGCACCAAUUUGAAGAGCAGCGAACGGGUGAGUAACGCGUGGGGAAUCUGCCUUUGAGCGGGGGACAACAUUUGGAAACGAAUGCUAAUACCGCAUAACAACUUUAAACAUAAGUUUUAAGUUUGAAAGAUGCAAUUGCAUCACUCAAAGAUGGUCCCGCGUUGUAUUAGCUAGUUGGUGAGGUAAAGGCUCACCAAGGCGAUGAUACAUAGCCGACCUGAGAGGGUGAUCGGCCACAUUGGGACUGAGACACGGCCCAAACUCCUACGGGAGGCAGCAGUAGGGAAUCUUCGGCAAUGGACGAAAGUCUGACCGAGCAACGCCGCGUGAGUGAAGAAGGUUUUCGGAUCGUAAAACUCUGUUGGUAGAGAAGAACGUUGGUGAGAGUGGAAAGCUCAUCAAGUGACGGUAACUACCCAGAAAGGGACGGCUAACUACGUG